rnacentral:rRNA from 1 species
GUGACCUCAAAUCAGGUAGGACUACCCGCUGAACUUAAGCAUAUCAAUAAGCGGAGGAAAAGAAACUAACAAGGAUUCCCCUAGUAACUGCGAGUGAAGCGGGAAAAGCUCAAAUUUAAAAUCUGGCGGUCUUUUGGCUGUCCGAGUUGUAAUCUAGAGAAGUGUUAUCCGCGCUGGACCGUGUACAAGUCUCCUGGAAUGGAGCAUCAUAGAGGGUGAGAAUCCCGUCUUUGACAUGGACUACCAGGGCUUUGUGAUGCGCUCUCAAAGAGUCGAGUUGUUUGGGAAUGCAGCUCAAAAUGGGUGGUAAAUUCCAUCUAAAGCUAAAUAUUGGCGAGAGACCGAUAGCGAACAAGUACCGUGAGGGAAAGAUGAAAAGAACUU